rnacentral:rRNA from 1 species
UACGUAGGGGGCUAGCGUUGUCCGGAUUUAUUGGGCGUAAAGAGCGUGUAGGCGGCCAGAUAGGUCUGCUGUGAAAACUCGAGGCUCAACCUCGAGAUGUCGGCGGAAACCAUUUGGCUAGAGUCCGGAAGAGGAAAGUGGGAAUUCCUGGUGUAGCGGUGAAAUGCGCAGAUAUCAGGAAGAACACCCGUGGCGAAGGCGGCUUUCUGGGACGGUACUGACGCUGAGACGCGAAAGCCAGGGGAGCAAACGGG